rnacentral:rRNA from 1 species
ACCUGGUUGAUCCUGCCAGUAGUCAUAUGCUUGUCUCAAAGAUUAAGCCAUGCAAGUCUAAGUAUAUGCUGAAUAGCUGAGACUGCAGAUGGCUCAUUAAAACAGUUAUAGUUUAUUUGAUGGUCCCUUUGCUAAUUGGAUAACCGUAGUAAUUCUAGAGCUAAUACAUGCAUAAAGCCCUGACUUCGGAAAGGGCGUGUUUAUUAGAUAAGACCAAUUGCCCUAACGGGUAUUAGGUGAUUCAUAGUAACUUCUCGGAUCGGAUGUCUUCGCGACGCCGACAGAUCAUUCAAAUUUCUGCCCUAUCAGCUUUCGAUGGUACGGUAGCGGCCUACCAUGGCGGUGACGGGUGACGGAGAAUUAGGGUUCAAUUCCGGAGAGGGAGCCUGAGAAACGGCUACCACAUCUAAGGAAGGCAGCAGGCGCGUAAAUUACCCAAUCCUGACGCAGGGAGGUAGUGACAAGAAAUAUCAAUAGAUUGAACACAGUUCUGUCUAAUUGGAAUGAGUACAUUCUAAACCCCUUAACGAGAACCAAUUGGAGGGCAAGUCUGGUGCCAGCAGCCGCGGUAAUUCCAGCUCCAAUAGCGUAUACUAAAGUUGUUGCAGUUAAAAAGCUCGUAGUUGGAUUUCUGUGCGCCGGUUGUUGGGCCUGCUCUAUGAGGAGGCUCCUUCACCGUCGUACAUCCUGUUGGCAGACCCGCGCAGGGCAUUUAGUUGUCGGCGUGGGGAGACCACUCGUUUACUUUGAGAAAAUUAAAGUGUUCAAAGCAGGCAAUCGCUUGAAUACAUUAGCAUGGAAUAAUAGUAUAGGACUUUGAUCUUAUUUGUUGGUUUUAAAGAUCAAAGUAAUGAUUGAUAGGGACAGUUGGGGGCAUCAGUAUUCUGAAGCGAGAAGUGAAAUUCUUGGACCUUCGGAAGACUAACAACUGCGAAAGCAUUUGCCAAGGAUGUUCUCUUUAAUCAAGAACGAAAGUUAGGGGAUCGAAGACGAUCAGAUACCGUCGUAGUCUUACCUAUAAACUAUGCCAGCUAGGGAUCGGUGAACGUUGUUUCGAACCCUUCAUCAGCACCUUAUGAGAAAUCAAAGCAUUUGGGUUCCGGGGGGAGUAUGGUCGCAAGGCUGAAACUUAAA